GGGGCUGAUACGCCGUCGAGCGCGACUCAUAAUCGCUUGGUCGCUGGUUCGAAUCCAGCCGGCCCUA
rnacentral:tRNA from 1 species